AACAUACACUCCCAGGUCUUUCUCUGCCUCUGUGGUGGAUAGUGGAGUGUUUCCCAUGUGGUAUUGGUGUGCUGGAUAUCCCUUCACUGGUAGCCUGGUGACAUACACUCCCAGGUCUUUCUCUGCCUCUGUGGUGGAUAGUGGAGUGUUUCCCAUGUGGUAUUGGUGUGCUGGAUAUCCCUUCACUGGUAGCCUGGUAACAUACACUCCCAGAUCUUUCUCUGCCUCUGUGGUGGAUAGUGGAGUGUUUCCCAUGUGGUAUUGGUGUGCUGGAUAUCCCUUCACUGGUAGCCUGGUAACAUACACUCCCAGAUCUUUCUCUGCCUCUGUGGUGUAUAGUGGAGUGUUUCCCAUGUGAUAUUGGUAUGCUGGAUAUCCCCUUCCAAGGUGCAGGACUUUACAUUUUUCCUCCUUGAAUUGUAGCAGCCACUUUUUGUUCCAUUCCUGUAGCUUGGUGAUGUCUUCUUGUAGGAAAUCCGCAGUUAAGGGUUUAAGUAAUGCUACGGUAAACUGAACGCAUGCUUGUCUGGGGUGACGCCACUCUUGGCGGCACCAUGUCACUCACGGCUUCAGUCACUCAUGCAAAAACUACAACAGACAUUUUGAUCUUGGGGAAAAAAAUAUUCACCUCAUUUUCUUUGUACAUUUUCUUUUAUUGAGAUUUAAAUAAUGAUACUUAGGAGAAGAAAAAUGCUUUAGUACAUGUUGCUGGCAAGAAACUGUAUGAUCAAUUACAUAUUAUACGGUGGGAUUAAAUGGUGUAAUAUCACAGAGCUGUUGGAUAUGUACAGUCGGUAGAAAAAGUAUCGAACACCUUUGCGCCAACUGAACAGAAAUUGAGCGACUCCUAUUGACAUGGUUUUGUGUCGGCUCGGUAGGCACCAGUGGCUCCAGUCUACCCAUUGGCACCCACCUAACCAACACAACACCAUGUCUAUAGGUUUCGCUCAAAGUCUAUUCAGUCGACUAUUGGGCGUUCAAUACUUUUUUUGCCGAAUGUACAGGCUGGAAGUAUUCUGCACCCUUACAGCAUGAGACACAAUGCUUUGGCUAUACAUGUUCCCGACAAGAAACUGUAUGAUCAAUUACAUAUUCAAUGGUGGGAUUAAAUGGUGUAAUAUCACAGUGCUGUUGGGUAUGUACAGGCUAGAACACUGUUGCCAGAUUAUCGUAGUCAGAGCCUCGUAUUUACCGGUUUCUGAGCUAUAGCUAUUGACCAGAGACACCAAUAAUUAACCAUUGUAACGAUAACUAUAUAUGAAGGCAGUUAUUGGAAUCGAGGAAGCCGUUUUUGGGGGUCGGAAAUCGGAAAACAUAGGAGGCUGAGUAUGACAAUCUGGCAACGUCGGGCUGGAAGUAUUCUGCACCCUUACAGCACAAGACACGUGAGACCGUAUUCUUAAACACAUCGCCGCCUCAGUUCGUGUUUGAAAAGCCUCUCGCGGAAGUUGCUGGGCUUUUCCUGGACCAUUUUGUGAUGUUGGUGGAAGUUUAACACAACCACUGAGUAGGAAAAUCACCCUUGAAAGCCCGGUUAAUCUUCUGUGGCCUUGGGAAAUAGUAAUAUAAACAUUGAACAGGAAAAUCACCCAUGAAUGCCCAGUUAAUCUUGUGGCCUUGGGAAAUAGUAAUAUAAACAUUAAACAGGAAAAUCACCCAUGAAUGCCCGGUUAAUCUUGUGGCCUUGGGAAAUAGUAAUAUAAACAUUAAACAGGAAAAUCACCCAUGAAUGCCCGGUUAAUCUUGUGGCCUUGGGAAAUAGUAAUAUAAACAUUAAACAGGAAAAUCACCCAUGAAUGCCCGGUUAAUCUUGUGGCCUUGGGAAAUAGUAAUAUAAACAAUAAACAGGAAAAUCACUCAUAAAAGCCCGGUCAAUCUUGUGGCCUUGGGAAAUAGUAAUAUAAACAAUAAACAGGAAAAUCACUCAUAAAAGCCCGGUUAAUCUUGUGGCCUUGGGAAAUUGUAAUAUGAACCAUGAACAGGAAAAUCACCCAUGAAAGCCUGGUUAAUCUUGUGGCCUUGGGAAAUUGUAAUAUAAACAAUAAACAGGAAAAUCACUCAUAAAAACCUGGUUAAUCUUGUGUCCUUGGGAAAUUGUAAUAUGAACCAUGAACAUGAAAAUCACCCAUGAAAGCCUGGUUAAUCUUGUGUCCUUGGGAAAUUGUAAUAUGAACCAUGAACAUGAAAAUCACCCAUGAAAGCCUGGUUAAUCUUGUGGCCUUGGGAAAUUGUAAUAUGAACCAUGAACAUGAAAAUCACCCAUGAAAGCCUGGUUAAUCUUGUGGCCUUGGGAAAUUGUAAUAUGAACCAUAAGCAGGAAAAUCACUCAUGAAAAAACGGUUAAUCUUCUCUUUGUCCUUGGGAAAUAGUAACAAAGGGAACUCAGUACAAUUUAAUACUUUGGACCGAUGCCUCACCUCCGAUUGAUUCUCACUAAACACCUGAGUUACUUGCUUGGCUGCCCUGUGUUGCUUCAUCUUUCAGUGCUGGAAAAGAACAUCACCGUGUCAAGACUUGGUCGCGUUUAACAGAGAUUGCUGUGAAGGGAAUUAAAGUACAGUGCCAUGAUUUUCUGUAGCCUGUACUUGUGGCCCUAAAUGCAAAGAUAUUCAGUACCAGCAUAAAACUGAGAAAUUUCUGCGCUUGUAAAGGUUCAAGAAAUUCCUACCUUAGUACAUAUCUACACUAAAAUUAGCAAGUCUGAGAAGGGAACCAGAGCACAGUUCCAUGAUUUUCUGUAGCCUGUACUUGUGGCCUUAAAUGCAAGGAUAUUUACUACCUGCAUAAAACUGAGAAAUUUCUGCGCUAGUAAAGGAUCAAGAGAGUCCUGCGUCAGUACAUAUCCACACUAAAAUUGGCAAGUCUGAGAAGGGAACUGGAGCACAUUUCCAUGAUUUUCUAUAGCCAGCAGUAUGUACUUAUGGCCCUAAAUGCAAGGAUAUUUAGUACCAGCAUAAAACUGAGAAAUUUCUGCGCUAGUAAAGGAUCAAGAGAGUCCUGCCUCAGUACAUAUCCACUCUAAAAUUGGCAAGUCUGAGAAGGGAACUGGAGCACAUUUCCAUGAUUUUCUAUAGCCUGCCUCUAUGUACUUAUGGCCCUAAAUGCAAGGAUAUUUAGUACCAGCAUAAAACUGAGAAAUAUCUGUGCUAGUAAAUGUUCAAGAAAUUCCUGCCUUAGUUUAUAUCCACACUAAAAUUAGCAAGUCUGAGAAGGGAACCAGAGCACAGUUCCAUGAUUUUCUGUAGCCUGUACUUGUGGCCCUAAAUGCAAGGAUAUUUAGUACCAGCAUAAAACUGAGAUAUAUCUGUGCUAGUAAAUGUUCAAGAAAUUCCUGCCUUAGUUUAUAUCCACACUAAAAUUAGCAAGUCUGAGAAGGGAACCAGAGCACAGUUCCAUGAUUUUCUGUAGCCUGUACUUGUGGCCCUAAAUGCAAGGAUAUUUAGUACCAGCGUAAAACCAAGAAAUUUCUGCGCUUGUAAAGGUUCAAGAAAUUCCUGCCUUAGUAUAUAUCCACACUAAAAUUGGCAAGUCUGAGAAGGGAACUGGAGCACAUUUCCAUGAUUUUCUAUAGCCUGCCUCUAUGUACUUAUGGCCCUAAGUGCAAGGAUAUUUACUACCUGCAUAAAACUGAGAAAUUUCUGCGCUAGUAAAGGAUCAAGAGAGUCCUGCCUCAGUACAUAUCCACACUAAAAUUAGCAAGUCUGAGAAGGGAACCAGAGCACAGUUCCAUGAUUUUCUGUAGCCUGUACUUGUGGCCCUAAAUGCAAGGAUAUUUAGUACCAGCAUAAAACUGAGAAAUAUCUGUGCUAGUAAAUGAUCAAGAGAGUCCUGCCUCAGUACAUAUCCACACUAAAAUUGGCAAGUCUGAGAAGGGAACUGGAGCACAUUUCCAUGAUUUUCUAUAGCCUGCCUCUAUGUACUUAUGGCCCUAAAUGCAAGGAUAUUUAGUACCAGCAUAAAACUGAGAAAUAUCUGUGCUAGUAAAUGUUCAAGAAAUUCCUGCCUUAGUUUAUAUCCACACUAAAAUUAGCAAGUCUGAGAAGGGAACCAGAGCACAGUUCCAUGAUUUUCUAUAGCCUGCCUGUACUUGUGGCCCUAAAUGCAAGGAUAUUUAGUACCAGCGUAAAACCAAGAACUUUCUGUGUUAGUAAAGGCUCAAGGAAGUCCUACCUUAGUACAUAUCCACACUAGAAUUAGCAAGAAACUUUCCUCUGACUAUGAGCUCAGUAAAUAUCUGCACAAGCAUAGAUGCACAAAAAAUUCCCUCUUGAUCAUCAUUCCAAGACUAAUUAACGGAUUCCUACACAGAGAACGACUAAUUUGGCAGCGACAUGCAGCGUUGGUGAUGCAGGAAGGGAAACGCGACAUAAGACUUACUUCUAACAGACCCUAAUUCCUGCAUAUACGCGCACAUCCACGACGUAAAAUAAAUACACACGCAUCUCCUUGCUUUCCUCCACACUGAGAUUCUGUCGAGUAUACCGUGUUUAAAUUACAUCAAAUAGACCCAACACAUGCCAGCUCUGUACCCAUCAGUCACGAUCUACUGUCAUUGCCGCUGAAGGAAGAGAAACACACGUGAAUGUCAUUGCUCUCCUCCUCACUGAGAUUCUGUUGAGUAUACCAUGUUUAAGUUACAUCAAAUAGACCCAGCACAUGCCAGCUCUGUACCCAUUAGUCACGAUCUACUGUCAUUGCCGUUGAAGGAAGAGAAACACGUGAAUGUCAUUGCUCUCCUCCACACUGAGAUUCUGUUGAGUAUACCAUGUUUAAAUUACAUCACAUAGACCCAGUACGUGCCAGCUCCGUACCCAUCAGUCACGUUCUACUGUGAUUGCCGUUGAAGGAAGAGAAACACACGUGAAUAUCUGUCCUCCUGCUCACUGAGAUUCUGUUGAGUAUACCGUGUUUAAAAUACGACAACACACACCAACUCUGUACCCAGUAGCCACGUUCAAUUAUGAGUGCUAUUUCUUGUAAACGGUCACUUGUAGAGCUGCUGAAGGGAUACUGUGAGGCAGCUGCUGUAUGGAAUGCCAAUUUGUAGGGUUCAGCUGAGACACUGCUCCAUUUGACUCAUCCCUUCACCCAUGGGUCACCUAAAUCCUGGUGUGUGAUGCCCUGAUGCAGCUUGGGUUAGAGACAAGAGGUGACCCACUAGCAGACAGCCCAAUACACUUAAUGGAGAAGGGGGAGGAGCUUAUCUCACCAGUCAUUUCGAACAGGCAUAGGUAACGCUACACGCCAAGCCUUAAAAGUAGUGUUGGGUAAUGUGGGUGUCGUCCUAACACCAUCAAUCACAGCAGAUACGUAAUACCUUAAAAUUCAAGCAUCGCAACGUCUCAUGGAAAAGCCGAGGGAAGGAGAAUGUAGGCGAGGGUAUGUCCUUCUGAAAGUGACCUCCCUUUGGCCUCUUUUUUUCUUUAUGGGAGCAGUGACUAGCAGGCUUUUUUUUUCCCCUUGAGUUGCUUCCUCCGCUGAUCUCAUGGAAAAGCCGAGGGAAGGAGAAUGUAGGCGAGGGUAUGUCCUUCUGAAAGUGACCUCCCUUUGGCCUCUUUUUUUUCUUGACAGGAGCAGUGACUAGCAGGCUUUUUUUUUCCCCUUGAGUUGCUUCCUCCGCUGAUCUCAUGGAAAAGCUGAGGGAAAGAGAAUGUAGGCGAGGGUAUAUCCUUCUGAAAGUGACCUCUCUGUGGCCACUCUGUUCUUUUUUUCUUUACAGGAGAAGUGACUUGCAAGCUUUUUUUUUUUCCUAGAGCUGCUUCCUCCGCUGAAAAAAAAUAUAACUGUACAUACACACGCAAAGGGAACAGCUCAAAGGCAAAAAAUAAAGAAAACAAUAAUGAGUAAAAAGUCCGCAAAUCACAGCUCCUAUAAAAAAAAAAAAAGUUACGAGGAGUGGUGGCCAAAAGAGAGGUCAAUUUUGGGUGUAGGGUUGCAUUUAGCUGCCUCAUUUUUUUUUUCUCUUUUCUUUCAUUAUUUUCAUCAUCAUCAUCAUUUCAUUUAACAUCCAUUUUCACUCUUCCUGAGCGGUUGGACGCUUUAUAGCUCUCCUCCAUUCUACUCUCUCUUCUGCCCGAUGCUCAUCCAAUCCCAUCAGUGCCAAGUCUUCCUGUAUACACCUUCUCCAUGUUCUUCUAGGUCUACCAACUGGUCUCCUUCCUUCUACCUCCAAUCUCUCCAAAACUCCCAGCACUGUAUCCUCCCCUGCUCUCUUCACAUGUCCAAACCAUCGGAGUCUUUCCCUUCUGAGCACUGUUUCCAGGUCCUCUACUCCCUGUCUUGCCACC